UAUAAUGAUGAACGAACAUGCGUGAACAAUCUCUGAGUAGACAUAAGUCUAUGUAGGAUUACAAAACUUGUUGCCUUCCUUCUGAUG
rnacentral:snoRNA from 1 species